rnacentral:rRNA from 1 species
GUGCCAGCCGCCGCGGUAAUACCGGCAGCCCGAGUGAUGGCCGAUCUUAUUGGGCCUAAAGCGUCCGUAGCUGGCCUCGCAAGUCUGUCGGGAAAUCCAGUAGCCCAACUACUGGGCGUCCGGCGGAAACUACAAGGCUUGGGACCGGAAGGCUCGAGGGGUACGUCCGGGGUAGGAGUGAAAUCCCGUAAUCCCGAACGGACCACCGAUGGCGAAAGCACUUCGAGAAAACGGAUCCGACAGUGAGGGACGAAAGCCAGGGUCUCCAACCGGAUUAGAUACCCCAGUAGUCC